GCAGGAGGAGAAGAGGGAGGCUAAAGAGGAGUUUUAUGGAUGUGCUGAGGGAGGACAUGCAGGUGGUUGGUGUGACAGAGGAAGAUACAGAGGACAGGGUGAGAUGGAAUCGAUUGAACUGCGGUGGUUCCCCCUAACGGGAGCAAGCGAAAGAGGAAGAAGAUGAAUAAGAAUAAGAAGAAGAA